rnacentral:rRNA from 1 species
UGGGGAAUUUUGGACAAUGGGCGAAAGCCUGAUCCAGCAAUGCCGCGUGUGUGAAGAAGGCCUUCGGGUUGUAAAGCACUUUUGUCCGGAAAGAAAUCCUUGGCUCUAAUACAGUCGGGGGAUGACGGUACCGGAAGAAUAAGCACCGGCUAACUACGUGCCAGCAGCCGCGGUAAUACGUAGGGUGCAAGCGUUAAUCGGAAUUACUGGGCGUAAAGCGUGCGCAGGCGGUUUGCUAAGACCGAUGUGAAAUCCCCGGGCUCAACCUGGGAACUGCAUUGGUGACUGGCAGGCUAGAGUAUGGCAGAGGGGGGUAGAAUUCCACGUGUAGCAGUGAAAUGCGUAGAGAUGUGGAGGAAUACCGAUGGCGAAGGCAGCCCCCUGGCAAGUACUGACGCUCAUGCACGAAAGCGUGGGGGAGCAAACAGGAUUAAUACCCUGGUAGUCCACGCCCUAAANGAUGUCAACUAGUUGUUGGGGGAUUCAUUUUCCUUAGUAACGUAGCUAACGCGUGAAGUUGACCGCCUGGGGGAGUACGGUCGCAAGAUU